rnacentral:rRNA from 1 species
AUUGAACGCUGGCGGAAUGCUUUACACAUGCAAGUCGAACGGCAGCAUAGAGAGCUUGCUCUCUGAUGGCGAGUGGCGAACGGGUGAGUAAUAUAUCGGAACGUACCCAGUAAUGGGGGAUAACGAAUCGAAAGAUUCGCUAAUACCGCAUACGCCCUACGGGGGAAAGCGGGGGAUCGUAAGACCUCGCGUGAUUGGAGCGGCCGGUAUCUGAUUAGCUAGUUGGUGAGGUAAAGGCUCACAAAGGCGACGAUCAGUAGCUGGUCUGAGAGGACGACCAGCCACACUGGAACUGAGACACGGUCCAGACUCCUACGGGAGGCAGCAGUGGGGAAUUUUGGACAAUGGGGGCAACCCUGAUCCAGCCAUUCCGCGUGAGUGAAGAAGGCCUUCGGGUUGUAAAGCUCUUUCGCAAGGGAAGAAAACUUAUCUACUAAUACUAGGUGAGGCUGACGGUACCUUGAUAAGAAGCACCGGCUAACUACGUGCCAGCCGCCGCGGUAA